rnacentral:rRNA from 1 species
UAGCAAUACAGGUGGCGCACGGCGCACGGGUGCGUAACACGUGGGUAACCUGCCCUUUAGUGGGGAAUAACCUCGCGAAAGCGAGGCUAAUUCCGCAUAAGAUCCGCAAGGAUGAAAGCCGAAAGGCGCUGAUGGAGGGGCCCGCGCACGAUUAGCUAGUUGGUGAGGUAAUGGCUCACCAAGGCUAUGAUCGUUAGCUGGUCUGAGAGGAUGGCCAGCCACACUGGAACUGAGACACGGUCCAGACUCCUACGGGAGGCAGCAGUGGGGAAUCUUGCACAAUGGGCGAAAGCCUGAUGCAGCGACGCCGCGUGGGGGAUGAAGCUUCUCGGAGUGUAAACCCCUUUCGACCCGGACGAAUACCUCGCAAGAGGGGUGACGGUACGGGUAUAAGAAGCCCCGGCUAACUACGUGCCAGCAGCCGCGGUAAGACGUAGGGGGCCAGCGUUGUUCGGAAUUACUGGGUGUAAAGGGUUCGUAGGCGGUGUGGCAAGUCGGGAGUGAAAUUUCGGGGCUCAACUCAGAGACUGCUUCCGAAACUGCUGUGCUGGAGUGUGGGAGAGGCGCGUGGAAUUGCAGGUGUAGCGGUGAAAUGCGUAGAUAUCUGCAGGAACACCCGUGGCGAAAGCGGCGCGCUGGACCACUACUGACGCUGAGGAACGAAAGCUAGGGGAGCAAACAGGAUUAGAUACCCUGGUAGUCCUAGCCCUAAACGAUCAGGAACUUGGGGUGCCACCCGUUCGGGUGUCGUCCCGGAGCUAACGCGUUAAGUCCUGCACCUGGGGAGUACGGUCGCAAGACUGAAACUCAAAGGAAUUGAC